rnacentral:rRNA from 1 species
GGCGAACGGGUGCGUAACACGUGGGACAAUCUGCCGAGCAAGUGGGGGAUAGCAUCGCCGAACACGGCGAACUUAAUACCGCAUAUGAUCAGCUAAGACAUCUUAGCGACAUCAAAGCCGGGGCAACCUGGCGCUUCUUGAUGAGCCCGCGGACUAUCAGCUAGUUGGUGAGGUAACGGCUCACCAAGGCGAUGACGGGUAGCUGGUCUGAGAGGACGACCAGUCACACUGGAACUGAGACACGGUACCAGACACCUACUGGGUGGCAGCAGUCGAGAAUUUUUCACAAUGGGGGCAAACCUGAUGGAGCGACGCCGCGUGGAGGAUGAAGGCUUUCGGGUUGUAAACUCCUGUCAUUUGAGAACAAAGGUGCAAGCGCAUUAACUGUCGCUGCAUUGAUAGUCAUCAGGACAGAGGAAGAGACGGUAACUCUUGUGCCAGCCGACGCGG